AAUGAACGUUGGCGGCGUGGAUUAGGCAUGCAAGUCGUGCGCGAAUCGUAGCAAUACGAGGAGAGCGGCGAAAGGGAGAGGAUAGCAUAGAUACCUACCCUCGGACCUGGGAUAGCUAUGGGAAACUAUAGGUAAUACCAGAUAACGUCUCCGGACCAAAGGUGUGAUUCCGUCCGGGGAGGGGUCUAUGUCCUAUUAGCUUGUUGGUGAGGUAACGGCUCACCAAGGCAAAGAUGGGUACGAGGCGUGAGAGCGUGUCCUCGCUCACUGGGACUGAGACACUGCCCAGACACCUACGGGUGGCUGCAGUCGAGAAUCUUCGGCAAUGGGCGCAAGCCUGACCGAGCGACGCCGCGUGUGGGAUGAAGGCCUUCGGGUUGUAAACCACUGUCGGUGCGGAGGAAAUAUAGGGGGGUACUCCCCUCUAUUUGACCUAUGCGCAGGGGAAGGACGGGCUAAGUUCGUGCCAGCCGCCGCCGUAA
rnacentral:rRNA from 1 species